rnacentral:rRNA from 1 species
AACGAACGCUGGCGGCAGGCUUAACACAUGCAAGUCGAACGGGUGUCGCAAGACAUCAGUGGCAGACGGGUGAGUAACACGUGGGAACCUUCCUAGGGGUACGGAACAACUCAGGGAAACUUGAGCUAAUACCGUAUACGUCCGUAAGGAGAAAGAUUCAUCGCCCCUAGACGGGCCCCGCGUCGGAUUAGGUAGUUGGUGGGGUAACGGCCUACCAAGCCUACGAUCCGUAGCUGAUCUGAGAGGANGAUCAGCCACACUGGGACUGAGACACGGCCCAGACUCCUACGGGAGGCAGCAGUGGGGAAUCUUGGACAAUGGGCGCAAGCCUGAUCCAGCCAUG